UAUUGGACUACCAUGGCAGUCACGGGUAACGGAGAAUAGGGUUCGAUUCCGGAGAGGGAGCCUGAGAAACGGCUACCACAUCUACGGAAGGCAGCAGGCGCGCAAAUUGCCCCAAUCCCGACACGGGGAGGCAGUGACAAGAAAUAACAACUCUUGGAUUUCUAAGAAGUGUAAUGAGGAUAAUUUACAACCCUUACCGAAAGCAAUUGGAGGGGCAAGUCUGGUGCCAGCAGCCGCGGUAAUUCCAGCUCCAAUAGCGUAUAUUAAAGUUGUUGCAGUUAAAAAGCUCGUAGUUGAAGUUCUGAUUGUUCGGGCCUCGCGCUUUAUAGCCGAGGAACCGACAGUCAUCCGCUUGCAAAUAUAUGUUCGCCUUUAACCGGGUGGCUAUAUGAGUAAGCAAUUUACCUUGAGAAAAACAGAGUGUUCCAGGCAGGUUUGUCCGGAAUGCAUUAGCAUGGAAUAAUAGAAUAUGACUGAAGUCGAUUUAUUGGUUUAAGGCUUUAGUAAUGAUUAAUAGGAACAGUCGGGG
rnacentral:rRNA from 1 species